ACUUGGGUAGUUUAAUUAGAAUAAUAACUUGUGGUGUUAUAGGUGUUAAAGGGCCCCAAGUU
rnacentral:tRNA from 1 species